rnacentral:lncRNA from 1 species
CACUGUCAAUAACUUCUUCGAUUCUCUCACCAAUUGAAAACACAAGAGUAGCGUUUGCAAAUGACACCACAAUGUAUGCAUCAAACUCAUCAUAUCCUGAGAGAUGAACGAGGACCCUGGCCACAAAGCGUAAAUAUUUGAGGUGUUUCUUCUUCAAACAGAUUAGAGACCUUCAUGUCCGUUAUCGGCAUCAAGCUCUCAACCUGAUCAAUCCCAACAAGGUUCUUAAGUUUUCUAGGUUGGAAACACAAUGGCUGGAAAUCCUCUUCAGUUUCCAUGAACAAAGCUGAGGAGGACUCCACAUCAGGAUCUUCGCCUAUUGCCUGGAACUGAUACAAAGCGUGAUUCCCAAACUCCGAAGCAGCAAACAAAAGCUGCGAAUUCAACACACACAUUGAAGUUGUGACUGGGAUUGUAUCAAAGUACUUGAUCUUCAAUUCCGAGACAACAUCAUCAUUAUGCUC